rnacentral:tRNA from 1 species
UUAAGGUGGCAGAAAUAAUGCGUUAGAUUUAAAACCUAAAGAUGAGGGUAUCCUUUCUUAAUAU